rnacentral:rRNA from 1 species
GACGAACGCUGGCGGCGUGCUUAACACAUGCAAGUCGAACGAAGAGCGAUGGACGCUUGCUUCUAUCAAUCUUAGUGGCGAACGGGUGAGUAACGCGUAAUCAACCUGCCCUUCAGAGGGGGACAACAGUUGGAAACGACUGCUAAUACCGCAUACGAUCUAAUCUCGGCAUCGAGGGUAGAUGAAAGGUGGCCUCUACAUGUAAGCUAUCACUGAAGGAGGGGAUUGCGUCUGAUUAGCUAGUUGGAGGGGUAACGGCCCACCAAGGCGAUGAUCAGUAGCCGGUCUGAGAGGAUGAACGGCCACAUUGGGACUGAGACACGGCCCAGACUCCUACGGGAGGCAGCAGUGGGGAAUCUUCCGCAAUGGACGAAAGUCUGACGGAGCAACGCCGCGUGGGUGAUGACGGCCUUCGGGUUGUAAAGCUCUGUUAAUUGGGACGAAAGGCCUUCUUGCGAACAGUGAGAAGGAUUGACGGUACCGGAAUAGAAAGCCACGGCUAACUACGUG